AAGAGGGAAACAACCCAGACCGCCAGCUAAGGUCCCAAAGUCAUGGUUAAGUGGGAAACGAUGUGGGAAGGCCCAGACAGCCAGGAUGUUGGCUUAGAAGCAGCCAUCAUUUAAAGAAAGCGUAAUAGCUCACUGGUCGAGUCGGCCUGCGCGGAAGAUGUAACGGGGCUAAACCAUGCACCGAAGCUGCGGCAGCGACGCUGAUGCGUUGUUGGGUAGGGGAGCGUUCUGUAAGCCUGCGAAGGUGGCCUGUGAGGGUUGCUGGAGGUAUCAGAAGUGCGAAUGCUGACAUAAGUAACGAUAAAGCGGGUGAAAAGCCCGCUCGCCGGAAGACCAAGGGUUCCUGUCCAACGUUAAUCGGGGCAGGGUGAGUCGACCCCUAAGGCGAGGCCGAAAGGCGUAGUCGAUGGGAAACGGGUUAAUAUUCCCGUACUUGGUGUUACUGCGAAGGGGGGACGGAGAAGGCUAUGUUGGCCGGGCGACGGUU
rnacentral:rRNA from 1 species